rnacentral:tRNA from 1 species
CGGGGGGUAGCUCAGCCUGGUAGAGCACUCGGCUGGGGGCCGAGCGGUCGCUGGUUCGAUUCCAGUCUCCCCGACCA